GUGAAGUGAUGACUAAGUUUAUCCAUUCUCUGAGAAAACUGUAUACCAACCUUCCUUUAGCUCUAGGUUCCUGUUUUAGGAAUCUGUGCUCUAUAGUCACUAAAUGCCCAGCAGUCUUGCAGUGUGCUACUGUAGACAGUUGGUGUAGAAGGUGGCCUUAAUGAAGGAAUGGAUGGUAUCAGCAGACAGAGGUGGAACCUCAUCCAUUGAAGGUCUCAUCUUGUCAAGAUGAAUGAUGGAAGUCUGAUUGC
ensembl:snoRNA